rnacentral:misc_RNA from 1 species
AGUUAUAUACCAUACACAACUAAGUAAGUCAAAAAACUAAUCAAAACUUUCAACAACGGAUCUCUUGGUUCUCGCAUCGAUGAAGAACGCAGCGAAAUGCGAUACGUAAUAUGAAUUGCAGAUUGUGAAUCAUCGAAUCUUUGAACGCACAUUGCGCCGUGCGGCAUUCCGCACGGCAUGCGGGGAUGAGCGUGGUUUCUCUCUCUACUACGUAGGCUGUGGGCGCGGCGCUGCCCGCCUGAAAGAGACCACAAUGAUACUAAAAACAAAAACAUCUACCUCAUCUCCGU